rnacentral:rRNA from 1 species
UACGUAGGGGGCAAGCGUUGUCCGGAAUUAUUGGGCGUAAAGAGCGUGUAGGCGGCCAGAUAAGUCCGCUGUGAAAUCUCGAGGCUCAACUUCGAGCUGUCGGUGGAAACUAUCUGGCUAGAGUCCGGAAGAGGAGAAUGGAAUUCCUGGUGUAGCGGUGAAAUGCGCAGAUAUCAGGAAGAACACCCGUGGCGAAGGCGGUUCUCUGGGACGGUACUGACGCUAAGGCGCGAAAGCGUGGGGAGCGAACGAGG